rnacentral:lncRNA from 1 species
UUUUGAAUAGUGUCUUCAUGCCACAGUGUCUUAUCAAAUGUAUUUGCAUGAUCUAAAAAAGUAAGACCAAUGAAAGCUUAGUCAUAUAUGUAGUAGAACUUUUCUCAUCGAACUUGUAUACCUAGUAGAGUUUUUCUCGUCCAACUUGUAUAUCUUGCUUUAUUACAUAUCAAAUAUUAUUCAGUAAUGGUUCCAUGGAGAGGCCGUAGCAGCUGGAAUGGUGAUAUAUCAAAUAUUAUUCAGUAAUAUUUGCUUGAUGCGAUCAAUUUGAUACAUGACUCAAGCAGUCUGAUCGAACUUGAGCUCUAGAUCACUAAUAUUGGAUUGAAAAUUCCUUAUGUUAGGCUUUUAAGCGUGAAUGACUCCCAAUGAGUGAAGGAGAUGAAACAUAUAAAUUAUAUGCACUAAUCAUAUUGGAUUGAUAUUGGCCUGAUUUUAGUUGUUCUAAUGUUCAUUUUCAGAUGUGCUUGUCUACUUAAUUUGAGUGCGCUAUUGUUACAAAGUGAAAAGAAAAGCUAGACCAAAUCAGUACAACCUAACUUUCAUAUUUUUUAGAAAUUUGAUAUGAUGAUUUUUAUUUGGUAAUUUCAAAUACUGAUUUUAUGACUUCUUUUUGAUUGAUCCAGAACAGCUGGAGCUGCGGAAAUUGAAGUGGGAAGCAAGAGUUUCAAACAUGCAGUGUUUGUUAUUUUUUAGCUAUAUUUUGAACAAGUAUUUUUUGUUAGAACUUAUGUUUGAAAUUUAAUUUGAAUACUGAGAUUGUAAUUUGAGAGUUGAGACUAUUUGUUAUAU